rnacentral:tRNA from 1 species
AGGGGUGUAGUUCAGUGGUAGAAUAUUUGCCAAACAUGCAGUAGGCCCUGGGUUUGAUCCACAGAACCCCAA